UACGUAGGGUGCAAGCGUUAAUCGGAAUUACUGGGCGUAAAGCGUGCGCAGGCGGUUUCGUAAGUCUGUCGUGAAAUCCCCGGGCUUAACCUGGGAAUGGCGAUGGAAACUGGCGGGCUUGAGUGUGGCAGAGGGGGGUGGAAUUCCGCGUGUAGCAGUGAAAUGCGUAGAGAUGCGGAGGAACACCGAUGGCGAAGGCAGCCCCCUGGGCCAACACUGACGCUCAGGCACGAAAGCGUGGGGAGCAAACAGG
rnacentral:rRNA from 1 species